GUGGGCGUAGCUCAGUGAUAGACCACGUGCUUAGCAUGCACGAGGUGCUGGGUUCAAUCCCCAGUACCUCCA
rnacentral:tRNA from 1 species